CUGCCUGUGUUGUCUCAGUCAUAUCCAUCCAGAAUGAAGGAGCUCCAGUGCUUUAUCCAUGUUUGCAAAAUUGUAGAGUGGACUUUUUGCUUGAAUCUUAGCUGGGAGUGCCAAAUUGCAUGGGUCUCCUUCAGAAGAAGUUAUUAGAAAAUUUUCAAGAUCAGCUUUCCUGCACCAUUUCCACUGCACCAAGCCAGAACAGAGCCAUGAAAGGGUGUUAACAUUUUCAUACUGGGUAGAAAACUUUUAAUCAAAAUUUUUUGCAAUAAAUCAUAAAUAUAAGAUCUUCUUUUAUAAACAGGUUCAAGAAGGUCUGAGAGGUAAAACUCUGGCUGGUCAUUAAAGCAGCACACCACCAGCAUUGAUUAAGUGGAACACCAUCCCUUGACUCUUUCUUGGCAGAAACCUCAGUUUCUAUUCUGGUCCUUGAUAAAGGAAUUGCUCAGCUGCAGAACUGGAAUGAAACAUGGGGCAGACAGUAAAGCAUGUCUUCUCUGACUUGAACAUGGUCAGAACUGAGUCCCAGCAUCCCAGCUGACAACUUACCAAGCACCUCAUAUAUCUUUUUAUAUGUCCCAGUGUGGAAUUUAUCUUCCUCACAAAAGAAUGGUGUUGUGACUCCAAAUCUCCUCUUCAUCAUUAAAAACUUUUCACAGUUCUAGCAUAAGUAAUGGAACCAAACUUCUUCACAUGGUUUUAAUUUCAUAUUUUUUCCUUAGUAUUUUUCUUACUGAUAGUCAUGCAAGUUCUCUUCAGCUAAUUUGGAAUUAUAACAAAUGAGUAGGGGUUCAAAGUAUGCUUAUAAUUACAAGGAAUAGAUUUUC